rnacentral:rRNA from 1 species
GAUGAACGCUGGCGGCGUGCCUAAUACAUGCAAGUCGAGCGAACAGAUGAGGAGCUUGCUCCUUUGACGUUAGCGGCGGACGGGUGAGUAACACGUGGGUAACCUACCUAUAAGACUGGGAUAACUUCGGGAAACCGGAGCUAAUACCGGAUAAUAUUUUGAACCGCAUGGUUCGAUAGUGAAAGAUGGUUUUGCUGUCACUUAUAGAUGGAUCCGCGCCGUAUUAGCUAGUUGGUAAGGUAACGGCUUACCAAGGCGACGAUACGUAGCCGACCUGAGAGGGUGAUCGGCCACACUGGAACUGAGACACGGUCCAGACUCCUACGGGAGGCAGCAGUAGGGAAUCUUCCGCAAUGGGCGAAAGCCUGACGGAGCAACGCCGCGUGAGUGAUGAAGGUCUUCGGAUCGUAAAACUCUGUUAUUAGGGAAGAACAAACGUGUAAGUAACUGUGCACGUCUUGACGGUACCUAAUCAGAAAGCCACGGCUAACUACGUG